rnacentral:ncRNA from 1 species
GACAUAAAAAAAAAUAUGUGUUUAUUAAAAAAAUAUAAGUAUAUUAUAAUAAAUAUUAACUAAUUAAUGUGCCAGCAGUAGCGGUUAUACAUGAGAUAUGAUACUAUAUUAAGGGUAUAAUAAUAAUAUAUAUGAGUAAGAUAUGUUACUAUAAAAUGUUAUAAUUGAAAGGUGAAAUUUUAAUUAUAAUAAAUGUAUAGAAAUUUUGAUUUAUUUAUUAGUUUUGUAUAAGACUAGGAUUAGAUACCCUAUUAUGGGGACUAAAAAUUUAGUAGUAAGUGAGAAUCAUGAAACUAAAAAUUAUUGGCGGCUUUUAAAAAGUUUAGAGGAAUUUAUUCUAUAAUAGAUUUGACGCUAGGAUUUUAUUUUAGCUUGUAGAGUGUAACAAUUUGUAUAUCUCUAUUUAAAGAUAUUAAAAAUUAUUUUUAGGUAAUUAUUAAUUGAAGGGUUAUUAGGUCAAGGUGCAGUUAAUGCUAAAGAUUGAAAUAAAUUAUAUUAAUUUAUAUUUAUCAAGGGGGUAUUGUAAAAUAAGACUAAGAAAAAUUUAAUAGUAAAAUAAUUUUAAUAUAAUUUUUUGAAAAAUUAGAAUUAGAAGUGUACAUAUUGCCCGUCAUUCUCUUUAUGAGACAAGUCGUAACAAAGUAAGAUUACUGGAAAGUGAUUUUAUAUAUAUAUAAAAUAUAAUAUUGGU